UCGGCCCGGCCGCGGCCUACUACCACCUCGCCUUCAUCCCCCCACGGCGCAACCGGCCGGCAAGAUGCAUGACCCGGAAGCCCAAGCGGAAGCUUCCUCUGCAGCCUCGCCGCCGAGGUCCGACUCUUCGCUUCCGGCAUCCAUGGCGCGAUUUGCCUUGACCACCUACCUGCGCGCGGGAGCUAUCCGUUGACGAGGUGAAGAGGGAACUCUCGCAGAUUGGACCCAAGACGCAAAUCUGGAUGUCUGCCUUCAGCCCUUCAUCUGAGUUGCAGUUCUCAUGGAGAUAUCAGCAACAUAGCUCCCAUAAUUAGGGCACAAACUUCUUGUUGGUAACAAAGGGUGCAUUAGAGUUGCUGAUUUUUGUGUGCAUCGAAGCAAGUCGAGAAGAUUGAUUUCUGUAUGUCGUUAAUGCCACGCAUAAUCUGCAAAAUUCAUAGUAUGGCCAGUUUCUUUUUAUCAAACUGAUAUAAGCCUUCAUGUACUCAGUUAAGCCAUUGCCCAGAGCAUUGCAAUGAAAUUUAUGCCUCUGCAACUUUGUAUUUUGUAAUUCCCAUAUGGCCAAUAUUUUAAGUUUCUUUAUUCAUAUCAGUUCUUUUAAGAUGAUCACUGUAUGAGAAUUGCAAUGUAGAAAGUAGAAUGUUUAGCUGAAGGCAUUCAAUUUCCAUGCAAUGAUUUAAUUUUCUUUAUCCUGCUUACACAUCGUUUAUGACUUUGGCCAGCAGGUAAGCUUGAUACUAGCCACAUGGUAGUUCUCUACAUGAGGAACCCAUCAUUAACUCUAAAUUCUUCUGAACUUGAGUGCUCUUGUUUAUUCCAACCAGAUGAUGCAUCCUGCUAGGACAUGGACUAAGGACAUUAUAUGUGAUUUGAUGAUCUGUGAGGAUAAUCGAGCAAAUAUAGUAACCUUGGUAUUAGCCCAACAAUGUCAGCUUUGUACUAACACUUGACCGCAUUGAGCAAUGUAUUAUGUUUAUUUUCUUUUGAUGUGAAAUGUAUAAUGCAUCUGCAACACCCCUUGUUUGAUAAGUUAUUGCAUGGUGCUUGAUUAUUAGUUGAGACAUAUCAUUGAGUACAGUAAAAUGAAAAGAACCGUGUCUCUUAUU